UGGGACAGAAACUGGGGCAUGAACACGCGGCAAGCCAGGACCUGGGCUUCUCUUGCAGACACAGGCUAAGGAUGUUGGAGGAUGGCCGGAGCUGAUUAUGAAAUCAGCGACCACCAGGCAACGGCCACCGGACUAGACAACGUAGGAGUGCUCCGAGUACGCCCAUCACUGUCCGGAGCCGAUUGUGAAACCAACGAUCACCUGCCUCGACACAACGCAGACACGAUGCAGAGGGAUGCUCAAGCUACGCCCACCGCUAUCGCAAGAGACGCGAAUGAAGAAACCUCCAAGAAACUAUAAAAGAGACUGAAUAAGGGGAGUGGGGUGUGGGGCACUGCAGUGUGGGACACUGCAGGAGGGGCGGCUUGGAGACCCCUACCCACCCAGCGCUGUUUUGCUUGCUACUGCUUGCUGUAAUUAAUAAAAUUCUAAUUGACCUUAGAAAGGCUGAAUCAAAUUAUUCGCCUCAAUUUAUCACAAUUUGGUGCCGUGACUCGGAUAAAGGAAACCCAGGAGGGAGGCCCCACUAGGGUGAGGCGCCCCACUGCCUUUUUGCGGUGGACCUAAGGGGGGGCUUCCUCCUUGGGCCUUUACCGACGAACCUAAAACUCAGUAGCAAGCAAAGGUACCCCUGUUAAUCUUUGUGCACAAAGAACCGCGGAAGAGUGAACACGCAGGAAGCAAACGGCAGUCAGGACGGCCGAAAAGGGGUGGACUCACGCCAGCCGAGUGAAAGGCCCGGUUGCCACAAAUAACCAGUGGAGAGUGACUAGCCAGCCUGGGAACUUGAAAGCGACUCUUAAGAAAAACUAAUGAACUCUGUGGACAUUAUCCAAAUCAACCAUAGGGGGAAGCAAAGGGAUACAAUUACAAACUAGCUAAAGACUAUAUAGUGAUUUGUAACAAGGAAGGUUGUGGAGAUUGUUAUCCUUUUGUGUGCUUUAUAUGUAAAAUUUGCCAAGAACAGUGGUGGGUCCAUUGCCAGAGGGGAAGACCACCAAUUGGGGUUUGUACUGAGUGCUAUAAAACUCAGGGAAAACUAACUGAAACUGUGCUAAGGAUAGGAGAAUUGGAAAAUCGGUGGGUCAGUUUUGGAUCUGAGUGGUGGGAAAUAUUUACCAAGGGAGUAUACCCUGAGUAUUCUUGUUUUCAUACUAACGAGCCCACUCCAUUUGCUGCUCAGAUAAUAAAAGGGUGUUGUCGAAAGGAACUGAAGGGGAUUCCUUGCAACCCACCUCUGGUCAAAGAUAAGAACUGGGAACAGUACAAGGCUAGGCAGGAGCGGAAAAGGGGACGCUCAGGCAAGUACUGCUGCUGCCGAGAAGAUGGUUCACCUCGCGGCUCGAAGCACCCGAGUCGGCGAGCGAGGCAGAGAGGAAAAGGCCAAGCCCCCUCUAAGUGGAACAAUGCCGAAAUGCUCCAACUAUUGCCAGCCGAGUACUAGGAUCCCUCAAAGGACCAGUCUAAGUGCCUCUGAAACACCAAGGGAGCAGCAAGCCAAAAAGGGGAAAACAGGAUAUUACGUAACAAAAACAAGGCUAGGACUCCACCCUUAUUGGCAAAUUAUUAGCUUUCUAUUGCUCUGUCCUAGUGGUGUUUCUAGUCAGGACAAUGCUGAACACUUUACUUCUAGCCUACGAAGCAGCAAAGCGAUUUGAUGAACAAAAUGGUAAAAGAGAAAAUGGGGGAUUGUGAUAAACUGUGGUAACUUGUUUGUUCAUCAAAAGAAUUAGAAUAUUAAAGGGGGAAAUAUAAAAUUAAAGUAUAAGGGACCAGCUUGCUUGUUAGGAGAUAGGGGAAGCAUCUGUGAAGUUGGGAAACAGGAAGCAACUGCUACAAACCGCAAGGCUAUAGGCAUAUUGCAAGGCUAUAGACAUAUUACAAAACGCAAGACCACAAGUAUGAUUAAUCACCAUUUAGGGAGCUUU